GGAGUUAGCCGGUGCUUCUUCUGCGAGUAACGUCACAGAUGUAAGGUAUUAACUUACACCCUUUCCUCCUCGCUGAAAGUGCUUUACAACCCGAAGGCCUUCUUCACACACGCGGCAUGGCUGCAUCAGGGUUUCCCCCAUUGUGCAAUAUUCCCCACUGCUGCCUCCCGUAGGAGUCUGGGCCGUGUCUCAGUCCCAGUGUGGCUGAUCAUCCUCUCAGACCAGCUAGGGAUCGUCGCCUAGGUGAGCCUUUACCUCACCUACUAGCUAAUCCCACCUGGGCUUAUCCAUCAGCGCAAGGCCCGAAGGUCCCCUGCUUUCCCCCGUAGGGCGUAUGCGGUAUUAGCAGUCGUUUCCAACUGUUAUCCCCCACAAAUGGGCAAAUUCCCAGGCAUUACUCACCCGUCCGCCGCUCGUCAUCUUCAAAAGCAAGCUUUUGAAAUGUUACCGCUCGACUUGCAUGUGUUAGGCCUGCCGCCAGCGUUCAAUCUGACGCCAUAUACAAACUCUGA
rnacentral:rRNA from 1 species